GGGAUCGUCUCCUCAUCCUGACAGCAUUUCUUACGCAACAGCCAGAGGUUGUUAUUGCCUCUCGCGUUUCUCAAAAGCGAUCCUGCGUGCCCAAAGUAACCUCAAGCCGUGAACAGAUCAAAUGCCCUGCACUGUUUUUAUAAGUGCUCGCACGUCAGGAAUUUCUGACUUGUCCACGAGUGGUCGCUGCUGCUGCUGCUGCUCCCGGAACAAGUUUCUUUUUCAGCUUCCGCUGCCACAACCACGCAAACUUCAAACGAGGGAAAUCUUAGCGGUCUGUGUCAUCAAACUGUAGUUGGAAGGGGCAUGCAGAUCUACAGCUUAUAACAUCGGGGUUCGAUGAAGCGUUUUACAGGCAUUGAACCAAGUUCCUCUUGGAGCUCCUCAAACGGCCGGUCAUCUGAUCUUCAUUGUGACGCCGCCAUGGAGUACACUCUUCUGCACUGGAGCGGGU